rnacentral:rRNA from 1 species
UACGGGGGGGGCAAGCGUUGUUCGGAAUUACUGGGCGUAAAGGGCUCGUAGGUGGCCAAUUAAGUCAGACGUGAAAUCCCCAGGCUCAACUUGGGAACUGCGUCUGAUACUGGUUGGCUUGAAUUCGGGAGAGGGAUGCAGAAUUCCAGGUGUAGCGGUGAAAUGCGUAGAUAUCUGGAGGAAUACCGGUGGCGAAGGCGGCAUCCUGGACCGAGAUUGACACUGAGGAGCGAAAGCCAGGGGAGCAAACGGG